UCGUGACCAACAGUCCUGCAAUGGCAGGACUGUUAGUCCCCUGUUUUUCCUCAAACAGGGACGAACGUGCUUUGGCACGAAGAGAGGGCAGAAAGGCCACAAAAAAGGAAGGAGGAUAAAAACCCAGGGGGGAGAGAGAAUAAAAAAACCAGAGAAAAACCAGGGGGGGCAAAAAGACAGGGACGAGGAGAGAAAAACCAGAGGGACGAACAAGACAGAGAAGAACGAAAACACAGGGAACUGGUGAAAAACCAGAGGGGGACAAACAAACAGAAGUGAAAAACAAAAGGGGAGACCGUUGUAUUCCUGCAGCACGCCCUCGACUUCGUAUUCAGUAGCAGCUCCAAAGCUCCACCUUCAGCAGCAGCUGCACCAGAAACAAAGCAUUCCAGGAGAAGAUCACAGUAGAAACCAAAACAGAAAAACAAAAAAAACAAAAACAGAGAAAGGGGAGAGACACAGAGAAAACCAGGCUUCGAUAUCAAGCCAACAGAGAAUAACACAGGAUCAAAAAAAAAAAAAACAGACGGACGGACGGACGAACAACACACAGAAACGGAAAGGAGACAGAACACACAGAGAGAGCCAGACGCAGAGAGAGACGGAGAGAAAACAGAAAUAAAGACCAAAAAAGAUUGCACAGAGAGAAAGCAAAAGAAAAGAAAGAAUCAGAGGGAAAGAAAACGAAAGGAGAAACAAAGGGAUCCAAAGCAAGCCACCGUCUUCGACUUCGCUUCCCUGCACAGUUGUUGCAGAAGCUGAGCAACCAUUCUGAACCUUACAAGCAGACUGAAACAAAAUCGAAGCACAAGACAGACUUUCUGGAGUUAAGCAAGGAGUUUUCGCAUGAAAACAAGAAAUCGGAAUUGAGAAGAUUAUUGAGCUCGCUUUAUUUUAUAGGGAGGAAUGAGGGGGUUUUGUAAUGUUAUUAUUAUGCAACAGAAAUGCCGCAGUUCAUGUACGAGUAUAACAGUAUACAAAACUUACAAUCAAACGCACCAACACAGAAGUUGACUCUGAAGCAGCCACCUGCGGUUGAGGAAAUUAAUCAAUUUUCCUAGACUAAAAUCAAUACAGACAGCAAUGCCCGUCAGAGUAAACAAAUGAAGGCAUUUUUAUUAAAAAAAAAUGAAUAUACAACAGAAUAUUAUUAUUA